rnacentral:lncRNA from 1 species
CUCAGAUGAAUCACAAAUUAUAUCAGAAAAGAAAUUGCAAAACAAAACCCAAGCCUAAUCUCCUUAUCCCUAUCGAAAUUCACAUCUCUCUCUCUGUCAUAGUUCUUCAACCACGAUUCGUCACAGCUGUCUCCCUCUCUAUCACGGUUCUUCAACCAGAAUCGACUGCUGCCGUGUCUCAGCUUCUCUCGAUUGGUGGUGGUGCUGCUGC